CCUACGGGAGGCAGCAGUGAGGAAUAUUGGUCAAUGGGCGCGAGCCUGAACCAGCCAAGUCGCGUGAAGGAAGACUGCCCUAUGGGUUGUAAACUUCUUUUGUACAGGAAUAAAGUGAGUCACGUGUGGCUUUUUGUAUGUACUGUACGAAUAAGGAUCGGCUAACUCCGUGCCAACAGCCGCGGUAAU
rnacentral:rRNA from 1 species